AUUACUUCUUGGUCUUUUGGUUAAGAUCAACUGUAGUAUCUAUUCUUGUCAGUUUAAUAUGUGAUACAUUGCUUGUCUGAGACAACACAUUAAAUGGACUUUUGGAACUAGGAAAUGGACUAGAAAGUUGCUCCGUUUACUCCAUACCACACAUUGAUUUGAUAUUGCAGUACUUCCAAAAAGAAAGAAAGAAAA
ensembl:snRNA U2 U2 spliceosomal RNA